CAAAAUAUCCUAAAUGAGGAAUUGCCUUAGCAAACUAUGGCACAUCUAUCAAUAUAAUGGACUACUGUGCAGGUCUUAGAAAGUGUACUGUCAAAAUAUUUACAGAGAUGACAAUCUAAUUAUUAGUGCUUUCUCACACUGAACAGCCUAUAUUUCCUCACACAAAAGCUCUCUAGUAUGUUCUAAGUUCUAUUAUUUGUUACAUCCAUGAUCUUCUUAUGUUCCUAACAAGGAGGAGAAUUCUUUGGGGAAAAGGUCAGCACUUAUUUACCAUUUCCCUCAACACACCUUACACAGUGUUGGUGCAAGGAAGGAAAACUGCAGUUAUUAUGCAGUGUUUUGGCUCCCUUUGGUUGAAGACGCUGAAUUACCUGGAGGGAAAACAACCCUGGUUGAGAUAAAGCUAAAGAAGAGGAAGAGGAACGACCUGGGAGCCACUGGGAACCAAUGUUAGGCCAUGACGACAGGAGGUUGCUAUGAACAGAGCCCACCCAAAGAGGCAGAACUGAGAAGGAGAGAGACUCGGACUCUGGUCACAGCAUUUGAACUACCAAAGCAAGCUUCUUUGAAAGGAUAAAAGUAAGCACAGAACAUUUGGGUCACAUGAGCCAAUACAUUUCCUUUAUAGUGUGAGCUAUUUUGCCUUGAGUUGUUUGUUCGUUUUUGUUUUGUUUUGUUUUUGUUUUUGUGUUAUUUUUGUUUUUACAGCGACUGAAAGAUUAUAUGCUCAUAUAAAAGAGUAGAACAAUAAUAACGACUUAAUUUUUA
rnacentral:lncRNA from 1 species